rnacentral:rRNA from 1 species
GAUGAACGCUCGCUACAGGCUUAACACAUGCAAGUCGCGGGGCAGCAUGGGGGUUGCUUGCAAUCCCCGAUGGCGACCGGCGCACGGGUGAGUAACGCGUAUCCAACCUGCCCUUCACCACGGGAUAACCCGGCGAAAGUCGGACUAAUACCGUAUGUUGUCCAUUGACGGCAUCCGAUUUGGACGAAAGGUUUGGCGGUGAAGGAUGGGGAUGCGUCCGAUUAGCUGGACGGCGGGGUGACGGCCCACCGUGGCGACGAUCGGUAGGGGUUCUGAGAGGAAGGUCCCCCACACUGGAACUGAGACACGGUCCAGACUCCUACGGGAGGCAGCAGUGAGGAAUAUUGGUCAAUGGGCGUAAGCCUGAACCAGCCAAGUAGCGUGCAGGAUGACGGCCCUAUGGGUUGUAAACUGCUUUUAUGCGGGGAUAAAGUGGCCCACGUGUGGGUUCUUGCAGGUACCGCAUGAAUAAGGACCGGCUAAUUCCGUG